rnacentral:ncRNA from 2 species
GGUCAUGAGUGUCAGCGCACAGCCCCGGCUUGCUGACCGGCAACCCUCCAACCGCGGUGGGGUGCUCCGGGUGACGACCAGGCCGCGUCCGAGGUGGACGUGUGCAAGCGCGGACU